GUGCAGGAACAGUUGGGAUUGUCGUUUGUGUCACGCUCAUCUCUUAUCCAUUGAGACACUGUGAAGUGAUGUAACCAGUGAGGUUUUGUAACAACUUUAUUGAAUUGUAAUGAGGAUAUCUACAAACGUUUGUGUACAAAUGUGUGAUAAUUAGCAGGUCUUUGACCUCUGCACUUAAUGUGGUGAUCAAAAUGUAUUUGCGAUUCCCAGUGAAAUCAUUCUUUGAGUGCUUAAAAAAGAAAUUCAUACGGAUGUAUGACUGUGUUAGACGUUCUCAUUUUUAUUCCGAUUGAACGUUUGUAACAAUAAUUAAGUCACACUCAAGGAACAUAUGAACGUGUCCAUCAAAGGAAAUAUCGCCGCUCGUGAUGCAACGCACACUAAUCAACAUUUGCACUUGCAGACCAACUAAAUAGUUGCGGAGAAAACACAUUUAAUUGAUGACUUUACUAUGUUUAGAUUAGGACUUUUCAAAGGCGAAGACUGGACUCUUUAGCCAUCUUCGUGUUCAUAGGAAUGAUUAACGGAGGACUUUUAAAAGCGAAGACUGGACUCCUUAGCCAUCUUCGUGUUUAUAGGAAUGAUUAACGGAGGAAUUUUAAAAGCGAAGACUGGACUCCUUAGCCAUCUUCGUGUUCAUAGAAAUGAUUAAUGGAGGAAUUUUAAAAGUGAAGACUGGGCUCUUCAGCCAUCUUCAUGUUUAAAGGAUGUAGUUGAGGAUUUUUUUUCAAAGAAGAUCGGUCUCCAUGACCAUC